AACGCGAAGAACCUUACCCAGACUUGACAUACAGUGGAAGUUAGCAGAAAUGUUAACGCCCUUCGGGGCCGCUGAACAGGUGCUGCAUGGCUGUCGUCAGCUCGUGCCGUGAGGUGUUGGGUUAAGUCCCGCAACGAGCGCAACCCUUAUCGUUAUUUGCCAACAGGUGAAGCUGGGAACUCUAACGAGACUGCCUGGGUUAACCAGGAGGAAGGUGAGGAUGACGUCAAGUCCGCAUGGCCCUUAUGUCUGGGGCUACACACGUGCUACAAUGGUCGGUACAGAAGGCAGCGAAACCGCGAGGUGAAGCAAAUCCCAAAAGCCGGCCCCAGUUCAGAUUGUAGUCUGCAACUCGACUACAUGAAGAUGGAAUUGCUAGUAAUGGCGCAUCAGAACGGCGCCGUGAAUACGUUCCCGGGCCUUGUACACACCGAGACGUA
rnacentral:rRNA from 1 species